CGUUUGUUUUUGUAGCAGUUAAGUAUUUCUGUUGUUCCGUUGUUUUUUCUUUUAUUGUUGAUGUGUUUCUUUUGGUUCAGGUUUGGGACCCAGAUUUGUUUUCGAGUAUUCGAUUUAUGAUUUUUAAACAGCGAUAUACUACUGUUGCCUCUUUUACUUAAUAUGUACGUUUUUCUGUUGAUGUAUUUGCCUCGUGUUUAAAAG
rnacentral:lncRNA from 1 species